GUCCCUGUAGCACAAUGGAUAGUGCAUUGGACUUCUAAUUCAAAAGUCGUGGGUUUGAAUCCCUCCUGGGAUG
rnacentral:tRNA from 1 species